CGUACAGUGGUAAUGCUCUUGGACUCGGAACAGUAAUUGUUUUCACAAUAGCAGACAGCAGGACAUCAGUGAAAUGGAGUGUACAGAUCACUUCAGCAGUCCAUCAUGUACUUAUUUACUGGCUGCCAUUCAAAUUUUUUCCCUUAACGGUCUUGAGGAAAAAUACACUGUACAUUUAUGAUAAUUGCAAUGGCCAUUUGCAAACAAAGGACUGCAAAGGCUAAUCUUUAUUGUCUGAGAGGUAUAAAAUGACCAGAAAAUAUGGGCAUGUGAGCUUGAUUGUCUCAGUUUUUUCCAUCAGAGGAGAAUGUGACAUUUGAAGCACGAGAGUCCUUUUUCAGACCUUAAAUUGGCACCGGAGAACACUCUGAAACAGGUUUGAUUUUAUUGAUGUACUACAUAGGGUAAAUUGGCAAGAAGAGAGUUAGAAAGAGAGACACAGACUCAUAAGAAAAGACAGGGAGAGAGUAAGUUUAGCACACUGUCAGUCAGUAUGUAUUUGUACCUCACCUGUUCCUGUUCCUACAAAUUUGUUACAUUUGAUCUACUUAUGAGGGUAUUGUCCCAGUGACAAGCUGUUGUACUCCUUAAUGUACAAUUUAAAAAUAUAUAUAUAUAAUAAUUCUAACAGUGAGAGACAGCAAAAAUGAUUCGUCCCUCUCUCACACACUAUCUUCCGCUUUCCUGUUUAUUAAUAAAUAGUGUCGCUGUCACUCCGCAGCGGUGCAGACUCAAAGCAAGAGGGGGUUUUCAGGUGGCACACUGAAAACAUCCCAGCAUUCCUUCUGCCCAGCAAAUGAUGACACAUCAUUCUUCUGGAAAAAGUCAGCUGAUUGCUGUGUCACAGCACUAGUUUUAGGCGAGUGGCAGUGCUCCGGCAACAGACGUAGUCUGUUUUUUUUUCUCCCAGACGCACUGCGGCACAGCCAGACGACUAGAGUGGAAGCACAGGAGCUCACAGCUGCAGUCUACUGGCUUGUUUUGGGGAGACAAAAUUGCUGAGCCAUUCCUCUCGAAAUACCGUCGCUUCUCUCUGCCAUUGAGGCAUAGAUUUCAUCUGGUGGAGCAGCCGAGGAGUUGAGGUGCAAAAGGAAGAGUCUAUUUAUGCUUAGAGUCAAAAAACUUGGAAUUAUUCUUUGUCUCCAUCUAGCAGGACAUACUUUUCAAAGAGGCGAGUUUGGAUAGAGAUUCGCCGCAUUCGCAGCGUAUGUGUACACACAAUUGUGUGCGCAUACCAGACCAUGGUUUCAGGCUGAGAAGUUGAACAGAAUGGGUUGGAUUCCAGUGCAUUACCUCUCCGUCCAAUCAUGAACCCAUUCCCCUCACCAAAGGUCCCAGUGCAGACGUCCAGUCAGAUGGGCCCAUCAGCAUUGGCUGGCUUAGAUUGUACUUUUGGUCAGAGAUUAUGUCCGCUGAGCUGGGACAAGGUGGUCGCUCCACUCCAGGCUUAAGGUGACUUCGUAGACUGAGUCUAUGUCCAUCGGGCAGGGCAGAGGCGAAGGGAAACGGCAAUGCAGCAGCUGAGCUGAGCUCAGCCAGACAGACGCAGUGACCUCAAUCAGCCCCAGUCAUGUCUGGACACUGCCAGAGUGAGGCAGACAGAGAGAGAAAGACAGAGCGAGAGCAACGGAGAGAGGGGGAGAGCGAACACACAUACUGUCUCGUACAUAUACUCACACUAGGGGAUGAAGAGAAGCGAAGGAGGCUGUAAGGGGAGGGGAAACUGAGUUGUCUCUCUCUCCUGCUCUUUCUCUCCACCAUUUUAUUUUGCUCUAUUUGCUGGUGUUCACAUUGACUGCACGUCUACAUUGAUCUCCAGAGCAAAAUGCUAUUUUCUCCCCCCUUUACCUCCCCUGAUUUCACUUUAUCAUCCAGUAAAUGGCAGGAUAAAAGGCGAGCUGAAGUGAGUCGGUCAGAGAGACCUUGCCAAACCCACAGGCUGUUCUGCUGCUCUGCUACCGCUGCCGUGUUUUGAUGUGCACCACUUUGCAGAUGCAGUUUUUGGGCCAUUACCAAUACGCUUCCAUGCAGGAGGCAUCUGCAUUUGGACUGAUAGUCUGGUAAAGUAACGGACAUCUUUCAAGUACAUGAAGCCCAGCACUACUGGAGCAGAAUGAACUGUGCUGCAGGGGUACACUGCCUCCCUGCUCUCCAUCAACAGGGUGAAGGACAACACAGAAAAAAAAAAGGUUUUGCUUGCGCAAGCGAUGCAUAAGUCACCCGUAAUGACUCUGCAUAUAAACACAUACCGACACCCACAGAAAUGCAACCCAUGUUGUUAACUUACAUUUAGACACUAAUGUGAUGCAUUGCAUGUCCAAUUAUUCUGCCAAAUGCAUAAAUGUAAAUGUAAUUGUGUAAUGUUUGCAAUAUACCAUAUUUUUGACGUUUGUUUAUUGUUGUUUAAAAACUGUACCAAAGCCUGAAGCAUGCAGGGUGACAGGCUGUUAUGUAUAUUUUUCACACUGAAGUAUUUUUCUUCUUUAUUUCAGCAAGAAAGUCCUGGACCAGGGUGCAGCUGGUCAUGCGGAAAAAUUGACCUUGGUAAUGAGAAAGGAGCUAGAAACAUUUCUAUCCAGGGAUAAGUAUAUACAUUCAUAACGUCUCUUCAAAGUACUCCCAAAAAUGAAAAUUCUGUCAUUAUUUACUCACCUUCAUGUCGUACCAAACAAAGGGUACAAAGGGGCACCCCUUAAGGACAUUCAGCUUUUUUCUGGUCACAAAAUCUAUCAAAGUUAAUAUAUGUGUGUGUGUGUGUGUGUAUAUGUGUGUGUGUGUGUGUGUGUGUGUGUGUGUGUGUGUGUGUGAGCGUGUAUUUAUCACUUUGUGGGGACCAAAUGUCCCCAUAAGGAUAGUAAAACCCGAAAUUUUUGACCUUGUGGGGACAUUUUGUCGGUCCCCAUGAGGAAAACAGCUUAUAAAUCAUACUAAAUUAUGUUUUUUGAAAAUGUAAAAAUGCAGAAAGUUUUCUGUGAGGGUUAGGUUUAGGGGUAGGGUUAGGUUUAGGGGAUAGAAUAUAAAGUUUGUACAGUCAGCUAAUUUCCAUUUAAUUCUUGAAAAAAUGUCCUAUUGUCACUGUGGAGUACCACGGUAAGCAUACCAGAGAGUUACCGUAGUUUGCCUUUGCCAUUUCUCCUGAACAUUCCCUAUGCUGGUGCAUUUUGUCUCAACACAGAUUCUCUCUUACACGUAUACCCUGUGUGACACUUACUUACAGAGUGUACACAAAUUUCUGUCAUGUUCUGCUGGUCCUAAAGAAGCUCUAUAACUCUAGUACUACAGAGGCCACUGAAUCAGCAUUUCAAAGUGAAUUUCUUUCUACAAAGUCCUUUGAAUUGAAAUAGAAAAUAUUCUCUUUCCCAGUCAUAUCGGCUCAACUCUGAUUGACCCCUCUCUUUCUGUGUCUCUCUGUUGUAAAGAAUAGACAUAAAAUAAGGCAGAGUUAAUAGAGUUUAGGACUAAGAGCCAAACCGCCUCGAGAAACUAGAAGUACUAAAGGAAUUGAGAAAAGUGGGCGAGAGAGAUUGAGUAAUUGGAGGAGAGAGAGAUCCCUAAGGGAGGAGAUGGGGUCUAGGCUGCCUGAGGAGAUGCUUAGCUGUAAUUGGCUGAAUGCCUUUACUCUGUUCCCACAAUGCCUUGUUGGAGUGUCUUUCUGUAGUGUUUCAGUGGACUCCUCAAGGUUACCGUCACUCUUCAGUGUUAUCGCUGUACUCUAAGCCACUGUAGCAAAUCUGCUUUCAGCAUAGAGAAGGACUUCUGAGAAUAGCUGGGAGAAUAUUCGGAAUUGGAAUUAGCUGGGUGCUCAGCUACAUCAUACCCACUUACACAUUAACUUUAGUGCUCAUUUACACUGGCAAAAUACUGUAAUUAGAUAAAUCACAAACAGGCCAAGGUGAUCUCAUUCUUAAUCGUAGGUAUUUGUUCUAUAUUUGGACAGUCACUUACAGAGAAUGUACAACAUGAAUGUACUGGCAACAUCUGAAACAAAACUUGUGCAAAACCUUGUGAAAGACUGUUUUCUUUCAAGCGUGAGUUCAAUAUUCAGACACAAACCCAUAGAGGAACUCAGUUGAACACAGUCCAUGUUAUAGUGCAAUUAACUGAUUUGUGUCUAAAUGUUCAAUUAGCUUAAGACGUUAACUGUGUCAAAUAAAUGUCACAGCAUUAAACAUAUUUAAUGAAUCUCAUUUAUUAUAAAGAACAUAAACAUAUUCAUUCCAUGAAAUCAAUAUUCCAUGAACUGCGAAGGAUUCACAGUUGAUGCUAAUACUUAAGUGUUUACAUAGUUGCUGUCAAUUUCUUUAAAUUCACUAUGUUUAUGUGUUUAUCUAAAAGUACGAUAAUGUAUGUGUGCAAGAACCACAUUAACAGGAAUUCUUACCAAUUCUAACAAGUUUAUUAUUGUAUAGACUCAAUGAUGAGUUGUGCUUUGACAAAGAUUACAGUAAAAUUUUGAUCUUGAAGAAUAAUUAUAUUUCCUCAUAUAUUAAUAUAUGUUGUCUAUGCCAAUCCGACUGAAUUUUCUCCACACUAAUCUUGUCACCUUCCUCGCAAACAGAUUGCUGUAUGUAUGAAAUAAAGAGGUUGAAAAGCAUUCCCUUGAAUCCUAGAGCUGCUGAGGUGUUUCCAUGGAGAGAACUGUUUUUCUUUGCUUUUCAGCACAGCUACAACUAACCAAAUACCCUCUCAUGUGUAUAAACCUGGAAUCAAAUAAAGAAGUGAUCACUACUUUCAUUUUGCUGGUGUCAUUUCUUCUCUAAGCCUCCGGUAUUAACCGAGUGAAGUAUUUCAC